rnacentral:rRNA from 1 species
CAGCAGCCGCCGCGGGAAUACGUAGGUGGCAAGCGUUGUCCGGAAUUAUUGGGCGUAAAGGGCUCGCAGGCGGUUUCUUAAGUCUGAUGUGAAAGCCCCCGGCUCAACCGGGGAGAGUCAUUGGAAACUGGGAAACUUGAGUGCAGAAGAGGAGAGUGGAAUUCCACGUGUAGCGGUGAAAUGCGUAGAGAUGUGGAGGAACACCAGUGGCGAAGGCGACUCUCUGGUCUGUAACUGACGCUGAGGCGCGAAAGCGUGGGGAGCGAACAGGAUUAGAUACCCGUGUAGUCCCUGUCUCUUAUAA